rnacentral:rRNA from 1 species
GACGAACGCUGGCGGCGUGCUUAACACAUGCAAGUCGAACGGUAGGGCCCUUCGGGGUACACGAGUGGCGAACGGGUGAGUAACACGUGGGUGAUCUGCCCUGCACUUCGGGAUAAGCCUGGGAAACUGGGUCUAAUACCGGAUAGGACUCCGGACUGCAUGGUCUGGGGUGGAAAGCUUUUGCGGUGUGGGAUGGGCCCGCGGCCUAUCAGCUUGUUGGUGGGGUGAUGGCCUACCAAGGCGACGACGGGUAGCCGGCCUGAGAGGGUGACCGGCCACACUGGGACUGAGAUACGGCCCAGACUCCUACGGGAGGCAGCAGUGGGGAAUAUUGCACAAUGGGCGCAAGCCUGAUGCAGCGACGCCGCGUGAGGGACGACGGCCUUCGGGUUGUAAACCUCUUUCAGCAUCGACGAAGCGAAAGUGACGGUAGGUGCAGAAGAAGGACCGGCCAACUACGUGCCAGCAGCCGCCGUAA